GUGAUAGAAAGGUCAUGGUGAUAGGAAGGUGAUAGUGAUCGUGAUAGAAAGGAGAUGGAUAGUGAAAGUGAUAGAAAGGUGAUAGUGAUAGAAAGGUGAUAGAUAGUAAUGGUGAUAGAAAGGUCAUAGUGAUAGGAAGGAGACGGAUAGUGAUUGUGAUAGAAAGGCGACAGAUAGUGAAAGUGAUAGAAAGGAGACAGAUAGUGAAAGUGAUAGAAAGGAGACGGACAGUGAUUGUGAUAGAAAGGAGACAGAUAGUGAAAGUGAUAGAAAGGAGACGGACAGUGAUUGUGAUAGAAAGGAGACAGAUAGUGAAAGUGAUAGAAAGGAGACGGACAGUGAUUGUGAUAGAAAGGUGACGGACAGUGAUUGUGAUAGAUAGAAAGAUGAUAGUGAUAGAAAGGUGAUGAAUAGUGAUAGAAAGGUGAUAGAUAGUUAUCGUGAUAGAAAGGUGAUAGUGAUUGUGAUAGAAAGGUGAUAGAUACAGAUAGUGAUAGAAAGGUGAUAGUGAUAGAAAGGUGAUGGAUAGUGAUAGAAAGGUGAUAGAAAGGUGACAGUGAUUGUGAUAGAAAG
ensembl:lncRNA